rnacentral:rRNA from 1 species
UCAGGAUGAACGCUGGCGGCGUAGCCUAAUACAUGCAAGUCGAACGAGGUAGCAAUACCGAGUGGCGAACGGGUGAGUAACACGUAGGUAACCUGCCUUACAGUUUGGGAUACCCUGGCGAAAGCUAGGCUAAUACCGAAUAAUUGGAUUGGAGGCAUCUCCGAUCUCUAAAAGGGGCCCUUAAAGCCUCGCUGAAUGAUGGACCUGCGGCGCAUUAGCUAGUUGGUGAGAUAAUAGCCCACCAAGGCGAGGAUGCGUAGCCGACCUGAGAGGGUGAACGGCCACACUGGAACUGAGACACGGUCCAGACUCCUACGGGAGGCAGCAGUAGGGAGUUUUCGGCAAUGGGGGCAACCCUGACCGAGCAACGCCGCGUGAAUGAUGAAGGUCUUCGGAUUGUAAAGUUCUGUUAUAAGGGAAAAAUGAUAGGGUGAGGAAAUGCUCUCUAUUUGAUGGUACCUUAUUAGAAAGCCACGGCUAACUACGUGCCAGCCGCCGC